UACGUAGGGUGCAAGCGUUAAUCGGAAUUACUGGGCGUAAAGCGUGCGCAGGCGGUUAUGUAAGACAGUUGUGAAAUCCCCGGGCUCAACCCUGGGAACUGCAUCUGUGACUGCAUAGCUAGAGUACGGUAGAGGGGGAUGGAAUUCCGCGUGUAGCAGUGAAAUGCGUAGAUAUGCGGAGGAACACCGAUGGCGAAGGCAAUCCCCUGGACCUGUACUGACGCUCAUGCACGAA
rnacentral:rRNA from 1 species